rnacentral:rRNA from 1 species
UACGUAGGGGGCAAGCGUUGUCCGGAUUUAUUGGGCGUAAAGAGCGUGUAGGCGGCCAGAUAGGUCCGUUGUGAAAACUGGAGGCUUAACCUCCAGCGGUCGAUGGAAACCAUCUGGCUAGAGUCCGGAAGAGGAGAGUGGAAUUCCUGGAUGUAGCGGUGAAAUGCGCAGAUAUCAGGAAGAACACCCGUGGCGAAGGCGGCUCUCUGGGACGGUACUGACGCUGAGACGCGAAAGCGUGGGGAGCGAACAGG